GGGCCUUUAGCUCAGUUGGUUUAGAGCAGACGCCUGAUAAGCGUGAGGUCGAUGGUUCAAGUCCAUUUAGGCCCA
rnacentral:tRNA from 1 species